AAAGCAAAUAUAGUCCCAGUAUUCAAGAUUCAUUGAUUCUUUUGGAGAAAGAAUAUGCACAUAGAUAAAUUUCUUCCCACCAGAUGACAUGUUUAAGUAGUGGAUUCAGGACUACUUACUGAUGAUUUUGCAAAGUGAAUUCAAUCAUGGAUCUAUAUCAGACCUGCCCAACUUACAACAAAGAGAUGGAGAAGAGAAUAACAAAAAGAGAAAAACAUAUAAAGGGAGAGGGAAGUUAAUGAUUUUCAGAGGGUGAAGCUGAUGCAAAAUUUUGAUUCAUAUCAUAAUUGUUGAUGUAUUGUACAUUCAGAAGGGACCUCAGAGAUUCUGUACUCAAAAAUUUUCACUUAACAGAAAAGGAAAAUGAGGCCUAUAAAGAUGAGAUGACUUGUCCAAGAUAGCAUCUGACAUAACCAAAAAUAGAAUUGUAGCUAUUUCACUCUCAGCUCUUCCUUUAAAGUCAAUUAUUUAAUUCAAUAUGUCUCUGAUUUCAUUAAUACACACUGUACUGACAAAGGCAGAACACUCUAACUUGGCAUAAGGAAGAAAACACUGGGCCUAGGGUCAGCUAACUGAUUUAAUUCUUUCUCCCAGCAGCUACUAGGUAAGUUGUCAUAGGUCAGCCACACAACUUUCCUGAAAAUGAGAGUUGAGGAACAGUGAGAUUAGGGUAUUUAAGGGAGCACCAAUAUAUGUGUUAAAUUCUCUUAGCAUGUAGGUAAGAGUUGGCAAAGAGAAGAAGCCUGCGAGUGAGUCACUGAACUCACUGAAAAAAGGAUAGUAUCUUGGAGGUUGGGAUGGAAGGACUACCAGAAUUUUGACUGGAUGGUAGAUAUGAACUGAGUGGACCUCAAAAAAGGAGAAAUUACUUAGUGGUGGUAGUAUUCAGAGAUCCUAGAAGUGGUAAUGGGAAGCAAAAACCAUUCUAACUUCCUCAACUUGACAAAUGAAUGGGAAAAUGAGUCAGAGUGCAGCAGCUGCUGGAAAAGAUAGGGAGGUUUGUGUCAUCUGAAUGGAAUCAGGUCUCAUUGAGAGCCAGAAGGUGGAAGGAAUGGGAAAGGAAAAGAUUUAAGAAGAAAGUACACUACUGCAUAUUCCAGAGAACACAGUGGAAUGGGUAGAUAGCUACAGAGUGGGAUAUCAGAGAGGGUUGGUUUAAGGAGAAUGGAAAGAAGGGAUGAGGAGGGAGACUGAGAAAAUGGUUUGAAUGAUACCAGCUUGGGGAUCAGUCCUUGGGAUGGGGAAGGUAUGACCAAGGUAGAGUUUGUUAACAAUUAAGGAAUGAAUUCAGU